UACGUAGGGGGCAAGCGUUGUCCGGAUUUAUUGGGCGUCAAGAGCGUGUAGGCGGCUUUGCAAGUCCGUUGUGAAAACUCGAGGCUCAACCUCGAGACGCCGGUGGAAACUGCAAAGCUAGAGUCCGGAAGAGGAGAGUGGAAUUCCUGGUGUAGCGGUGAAAUGCGCAGAUAUCAGGAAGAACACCCGUGGCGAAGGCGGCUCUCUGGGACGGUACUGACGCUGAGACGCGAAAGCGUGGGGAGCGAACAGG
rnacentral:rRNA from 1 species